ACGCCGCGUGAGGAAAGAAGGCUUUCGGGUCGUAAAACUCUGUUGUUAGGGAAGAACAAGUCCUAGUUGAAUAAGCUGGCACCUUGACGGUACCUAACCAGAAAGCCACGGCUAACUUCGUGCCAGCAGCCGCGGUAAUACGUAGGUGGCAAGCGUUAUCCGGAAUUAUUGGGCGUAAAGCGCGCGCAGGUGGUUUCUUAAAUCUGAUGUGAAAGCCCACGGCUCAACCGUGGAGGGUCAUUGGAAACUGGGAGACUUGAGUGCAGAAGAGGAAAGUGGAAUUCCAUGUGUAGCGGUGAAAUGGGUAGAGAUAUGGAGGAACACCAGUGGCGAAGGCGACUUUUUGGUCUGUAACUGACACUGAGGCGCGAAAGCCUUUUAACGGGGCCCGAU
rnacentral:rRNA from 1 species